rnacentral:piRNA from 1 species
UGUGUGUGAGUGGCCUAGCGACGCUUCC